ensembl:lncRNA
ACCGGUACAGAGUCAAUGUGGAGUCUAUAUACAGGGGGUACCGGUACAGAGUCAAUGUGGAGGCUAUAUACAGGGGGUACCGGUACAGAGUCAAUGUGGAGGCUAUAUACAGGGUGUUACGGUACAGAGUCAAUGUGGAGACUAUAUACAGGGGGUACCGGUACAAAGUCAAUGUGGUGGUUAUAUACAGGGGGUACCGGUACAGAGUCAAUGUGCGGGGGCACCAGUUAGUCAGGGUAAUUGAGGUAAUAUGUACAGGUAGGUAGAGUUAAAGGGACUACGCAUAGGGAGAGGUCAUUGAAGACACUUACCAGUUCGUCAGCACAUGCUGCACAUGCUCAGUACAAUUCCUGGUAAUCCGUCAGGCCUGUGAUAUUGUAAUAUCAUUGUAUUGUGGUAGUAGUGGACGAUACGAUAUGGUUUGUCCUCCUCGUUCAUGGAUACUGAGAGAAAUUAAAGUUCACUCCUAGUUUGUUCCCCUUAGGUUGAGUCCCAAAAAGCAGUUUUCUUGAUCUUCUGAUCUUGUGUGAAGAUAAUGUUCCAUACCCUGAUCUUUACAGGAAGCCUACUGAUCGUAACAGUUUGUUGAGGGCUGACAGUUGUCACCCACUUCCUUUGAGAAAUAGUUUGCCCUACAGACAAUUCUGUCCAAUCAAACGAAUUAGCAAAAAACAAUCAGAUUUGGACAGAAAUAUGGCUGAGACGCAAAGAAUGAUCAGAUUAAUAUAUAUAUAUAUAUAAUAGUUUGCCCUACAGAAUGAUCAGAUUAAUAUUGCCAUUGAGAGAAUUCAAAACAAAACGAGACAUGACCUUUUUCAGGGUCAGUCUCGGAAAAAGACGCAUUGUUGUGUUCUAACUACCCGCUAUUCAAAGCUCUCUGAACAAAUUAAGGGAAUUGUUCACAAACACAUCCUAAAAUCCGAUGAUAGUCUCGGUAAUGUGUUUCGGACCUUCCCUUGGUCGCAUUCUCGCGGGGCAGAGACCAAUUGGUACACUGAUUUACCACCCCAAGAUAUUCCUGAACAACGUCUAUUUGCGCCCCUACUGGAUGGAAACUACAAGUGUAAUGGCUGUGCUCAAUGCAAUGGCACUUAUAAAUGUAGAUCCUUCAAACACCCCCAAACAGGGAAAUCGAUCCCAAUAAAAGGUGUUAUUACGUGCUCCACUAAGGCAGUUAUUUAUCUUAUAACUUGUCCUUGUGGUAAAAAUUAUGUAGGUAAAACAAAGCGUGAAUUAAAAGUACGUAUCUCAGAGCAUCGUAGCACCAUUAGGUGUAAAAACUUUACUUAUCCAGUUGCGGCCCACUUCUUGGAGGCAGGCCACUCGAUGUCGUCUCUGCGUUAUAUUGGCAUCGAACAUGUCACCCUCCCUAAGAGACGGGGUGACCUUGAUAAUUUAUUGUUAAAACGAGAGGCUGCCUGGAUCUUUAACUUAAAGACCCUUGCGCCCUUCGGUCUCAACGUAGACUUUGAUCUGAAGCCAUUCUUGUGAUUAGGGACUUUGCCAUUGUAAUUGUUUGUAAGCUUGUGUAGUUAAAUGAAUCUAUGAUCGUAUGCUAUCCAUUUGUUUGUAUGCUGUUCUUUGCCAUUUUAAUAUUUGAGAAUUAACCAAUGAUAUAUGAUAUGGUCCUGGGGCUCUGAACACAAACACACCCAACAGAGCCCCAGGACCAGCUUGCUUAGGGGACUCUUUUCCAGGUUCAUCUCUCUGUAGGUGAUGGCUCUGUAGGGUGUGUUUGUGAACAGAGCCCCAGGACCAGCUUGCUUAGGGGACUCUUCUCCAGGUUCAUCUCUCUGUAGGUGAUGGCUCUGUUAUGGAAGGUUUGGGAAUCGCUUCCUUUUUGUGUCUAUUUUCUGGAUUUUGAUCAUUAGUGGGUGUCGGCCUAUUUCUGCUCUGUGUGCAUUAUUUGGUGUUUUACGUUGUACACGGGGGAUGUUUUGUCAGUCUCAAUUUGGUGUUUGUUCCAUUUUGUGAAGUCUUGGUCAGUGAGCAGACCCCAGACCUAUCAUAAAGGGCAAUGGGUUCAAUAACUGAUUCAAGUUGUUUUAGCCAGAUCCUAAUUGGGAUGUCAAAUGUUAUGUUCCUUUUGAUGGUGUAGAAAGCUCUUCUUCUGUCUCCGAUCGUUCACAGCUUUGGGGAAGUUACCUGUGGUGCUGAUGUUUAUGCUGAGGUAUGUGUGCUCUCUCUCUCUACUCUCUCUCUCUGUCUCUCUCUCUCUCUCUCUCUGUCUCUCUCUCUCUCUGUCUCUCCUCUCUCUCUCUGUCUCUCUCUCUCUCUCUCUCUGACAGGGCAGUCUCUCUCUCAUAAUGUGUCUCACAGACAGAUCUCUCUCUCUCUCAUAAUGUGUCUCACAGACAGACCUCUCUCUCUCUCUCAUAGUGUGUCUCACAGACAGAUCUCUCUCUCUCUCAUAAUGUGUCUCACAGACAGAUCUCUCUCUCAUAAUGUGUCUCACAGACCUCUCUCUCUCUCAUAAUGUCUCAUAGACAGACUCUCUCUCUCAUAAUAUGUCUCACCGACAGAUCUAUCUCUCUCAUGUGUCUCACAGACAGAUCUCUCUCUCUCAUAAUGUGUCUCACAGACAGAUCUCUCACUCUCAUAAUGUGUCUCACAGACAGACCUCUCUCUCACAAUGUGUCUCACAGACAGACCUCUCUCUCAUAGUGUGUCUCACAGACAGAUCUCUCUCUCAUAGUGUGUCUCACAGACAGAUCAGUCUCUCAUAAUGUGUCUCACAGACAGAUCUCUCUCUCAUAAUGUGUCUCACAGAUCUCUCUCUCUCUCAUAAUGUGUCUCACAGACAGAUCUCUCUCUCAUAAUGUGUCUCACAGACAGAUCUCUCUCUCAUAAUGUGUCUCACAGACCUCUCUCUCUCUCAUAAUGUCUCAUAGACAGACCUCUCUCUCUCUCAUAAUGUCUCAUAGACAGACCUCUCUCUCAUAAUGUCUCACAG